GGGGGUGACGCGUGGACAGUCCCUAAGUCAGGGCCCGGCACAAAGACACAGUGUUUCCAUUGCUGCCUGUUGUCACCGGAAUCUGGCCUUUUAUCCAGGAAUCUCAAAGCACUUCGUAAACUUUAAUUAAUUCUUGCAACAAGCCCCGUGAGGUAGGUACUGGUUUAUCUUCAGGGGAGCCGAGCAAAGCCUGCAAACCCACUUCUCGGAUCUGAACACUCCUGCUACACGGCCGUCUCCCCCUGCAAACUCCACUUCCCUCACGUUCAGACUCAACCAAGCAUCUCCUCUGCUGAGUGCCCAGCACAGUGCUAGUGGCUUUUUUGUCCCCGACAUUUCCUCCAGCCACUGGCCAGGUCUGCCACCGCACAGCCGGGGGACCCACGCCAGCCACGUCCAGUGCUUUUUGCUGCUGUUGCCUUUGCCACAUCCUGGCUCAGACUGGCGCGCUACCUCACCCAGGUCAUUACAGCACUCUAGAGCAGUCACAACAGCCACUCCCGCCACCCCGUGUGACAGCUUGCACAUCCUCUGGCCAGGGGUCACCCCGCCGUGGGGUGUCACACUUGUCUCAGAUCCUGCGACUCAGGCCCUGCCCUGCUGAAGCGGAGUGUUGGACUCAUCACGCCUCCAGCCUCGGAGCCUGCAAGCCUGGACCUCCUGGGGCUCUCCUCCCCGCAUUAGAACUGCAGGCUCAGCCUUGGGAAACGGCGAGUGCCUUCCCCGUGCCCUGGGUCGGGGCAGGCACUCGGGUCCUGUCACACUGCCUAAGACCCGCUUCUCUCAGGCCUGGCAAAUGUGAGAGAAAGCAGCACACUUUUCUGUUGAAUCAGAGCUGUGAAGAAUAGCAAUGGUCACAUGACAAUGUUUAAGUUUCUAACAAGUUCCACGAUGCCAGCCUCUCCCCCUGCACGCCCCUCCCCUCUCAGGCCCUAAGGACACCCGCCCAGCACUGCCUGGAGCGAAGGCCACCAACACUGCCUGCAGUUCGGCCCAGAAAUGACGAGGACUGGGUGUUCCGAGCCACUGCCUGCAGGACGAGCCCCCAGCCCUUUCCUCCCCCUCACUGGGCUGUGGGCACCACAACACAGGGGCAGGGAGGGCAUGUCCUUGUAAACCAGCCUUGCCCGGAGGUGGCCUGUCCAGCGAUGGGAGCACCAGGGCUCCAGACAGCCCUGUCCCCAGAGCUGUCACUGCUGCCUCGUCCUGUCUGCAGGUCUCAGCCCCAGCCUGGCACCCCAGUGUGCACUCCGGCCUUGAGCCCCCUGCCUUGCCGGGCUGCUGUUCCCUCAGCCUCGCGGGCUGGGCUGGCCUGAGCCAGUCCCUCAGCCUUGACCAGCUGGAGUUUCUGGGCCUGGCCUUGGCCAACCCCACCCCAGUCUGGCCCCUGGCAGGCUGCCCCCACGUCCCCAGGCUGUCUGCCUUCCCAGUGGGCCUUUCUUACUUAAACAGUAGCAGAAUUACAUAAAUACUGGCCCAGUCCACGCACCUAGACAGCCUUGAGCACUCUCCAC